AACGAACGCUGGCGGCGUGCUUAACACAUGCAAGUCGAACGCGAAAGUUUUCUUCGGAAGACGAGUAGAGUGGCGCACGGGUGAGUAACGCGUAAGUAAUCUGCCCUGGUAUCUGGGAUAACCCACCGAAAGGUGUGCUAAUACCGGAUACGCUGAGCAAUCAGGAAAGGUGGCCUCUUCAUGAAAGCUACUGUACCAGGAGGAGCUUGCGUACCAUUAGCUAGUUGGUAGGGUAACGGCCUACCAAGGCAACGAUGGUUAGCGGGUCUGAGAGGAUGAUCCGCCACACUGGAACUGAAACACGGACCAGACUCCUACGGGAGGCAGCAGUGAGGAAUAUUGCGCAAUGGGGGAAACCCUGACGCAGCGACGCCGCGUGGAUGAUGAAGGCCUUCGGGUCGUAAAAUCCUGUCAGAUGGAAAGAAAUGUAUGGUGGCUAAUACCUGCCAUAU
rnacentral:rRNA from 1 species